rnacentral:lncRNA from 1 species
ACGCCUUGAGCUGAGAGGGGACCCGAGGCCGGAGCCGCACAGGACACAAUUAGAGGCCCGCAAUGACCCAGCUCUCAGGGUACCCAAGGCGUCAGUGCGCCUGACUCUGCGGAGGCCGCUCCCCGCUCAGUCCUACAGCCCAGAGGCAGGCGAUGGCAGCAAGCCCCGCCCCGCCCCAGCCGAGCGCCAGCCAAAAGCUCAAACCCCCAGCCUGGUCACCCUCAGCAACGCCCCGCCAACUCCGCCUCUCCUCUUACAUCCGCCUCGGCGACCUGCCUGCGCAGCGCCCCGGAAGUACGUCAUCUGCCGGUGACCCUGACCCUACUUCAUUUUCACGGAAACUUGGAGUAGACGCCACAACUUGAGGUGCGCAGGUUCUCUGUGAUGUGUAAUGACAGCUGUUGUAGUGUUGGAUUAGGGCCAGCCCACGAAAGGACUAUUCUCGAUGCCCCUAGCAGUUAUAAAUACAUUGAGAAAGCCUCUGGAUCUGAAAUCUUCAACUGGGAAAGUACAAUGUGUUCAGUAAUAUUCCGCUACUCUUCAAAAGCUGAAGCGAAAGUGAUGGAGUGCUUACCUGGGCCAUCAGAUGAGUCAAACGGACACUACCUUAGACAUACACAGGCGCUAGUUCCAGUCAAGAGCCUAUUGCUGCUAUCAAUAGUGUGAAUAUGACCCUCACCUGUAAAACAAGAACAGUAACCUACUUCGGAACAACUGCACCAUUUUGCACUCCCACCAGCAAUGUCUGGACAAUUCAAGUUCAAGAGGUGUGGCUGACUUUGUGGUUUGCCCUAAUUUGUGGAGUAAGAGUAACAGGAAAUGACAACAAGAAUAACAACAGCUCUAUUGUAUGUGGCACAUCAGGAAAUCCUAUACCUUCCUCACCAUCAUCACCCCCUUUCAACAACCCACACCCACUGCUUGCUAAUGCACAGGACCCAGCUCUAAUCCCAGAGAUACUUCUCAUUACUGUGGUAUCCAGCACAGUUGUGUUGCACAAGACAUCUGAGAAACAUUUCACAAUACUGCAUGACACAUCCUCUUCCUACAUGUCAGGGUGCCCUGUCAACCAUGUGAUCGCUCCCUGCCAUUGUGAUGCCAUCUGCCACAGGGUCCUCACCAUUGCCAAGCAGAGGGGAUUGAACUCGCGACCUUGUGCUUUCGAGGCAAGAGGCAGAAUCGCUGAGCUAAAUCCCCGGCCCUCAAGAUUUUCUUUUUAUUGGUGGUUUCCAGAAAUGUUUUCUUCAUUUUGUUACUGUUUUCAGUUCACCAGCCAUCCUGACUCUGUAAAAUAUGACUUUCAUAAAAUUGGUACAGUUUUUGCUGUUCUUCAUUGGAACAUUUGCCUGUACUUUUCACCCUUCUCCCUGCAUCUUUUACUCUGGUUGCACACACAUCCGAACUGA